rnacentral:rRNA from 1 species
CCUACGGGUGGCAGCAGUGAGGAAUAUUGGGCAAUGGAGGCAACUCUGACCCAGCCAUGCCGCGUGAGUGAAGACUGUUUUCUGAUUUUAAAGCUCUUUCGGAUGUGACGAUGAUGCCGGUAGCAUCUAAAGAAGCCCCGGCUAACUUCGUGCCAGCAGCUGCGGUAAUAAGAAGGGCACAAGCGUUGUUCGGAAUUACUGGGCGUAAAGGGAGUGUAGGCGGGUUAGUAAGAUAGGGGUGAAAUCCCAGGGCUUAACUUUGGAAUUGCCAUUAUAACUAUUAGACUAGAAUUACAGAGAGGAUAGUGGAAUACCUAGUGUAGAGGUGAAAUUCGUAGAUAUUGGGUAGAACACCAGUGGCGAAGGCGACUAUCUGGCUGUACAUUGACGCUGAGGCUCGAAAGCAUGGGGAUCAAACAGGAUUAGAUACCCGUGUAGUC